rnacentral:tRNA from 1 species
GGAGAGAUGGCCGAGUGGUCGAAGGCACGCGACUCGAAAUCGCGCGUACCGCCACAAGCGGUACCGUGGGUUCGAAUCCCACUCUCUCCGCCA